rnacentral:rRNA from 1 species
CGUAGGGGGCGAGCGUUGUCCGAAGUUACUGGGCGUAAAGCGCGCGUAGGCGGGAAAUUAAGUGAGAAGUGAAAGGCUGGGGCUCAACCUCAUGCAGUGCUUCUCAUACUGGUUUUCUUGAGGGCGGUAGAGAAAAGUGGAAUGGCUGGUGUAGCGGUGAAAUGCGUAGAUAUCAGUCGGAACACCGGUGGCGAAGGCGGCUUUUUGGGCCGUUCCUGACGCUGAGGCGCGAAAGCCAGGGGAGCGAACGGGAUUAGAUACCCCGGUAGUCCUGGCCGUAAACGAUGGAUACUAGGUGUUGGGGGUAUCGACCCCUCCAGUGCCGCAGCUAACGCAAUAAGUAUCCCGCCUGGGGAGUACGGCCGCAAGGUUG